AGUGAACGCUGGCGGCAGGCCUAAUACAUGCAAGUCGAACGGCAGCACAGUGGAGCUUGCUCCAUGGGUGGCGAGUGGCGGACGGGUGAGGAAUACAUGGGAAUCUGCCCAGUCGUGGGGGAUAACGUAUGAAAACGUACGCUAAUGCCGCAUGCGCCCUUCGGGGGAAAGUCGGGGACCGCAAGGCCUGACGCGAUUGGAUGAGCCCAUGUUCGAUUAGCUAGUUGGCGGGGUAACGGCCCACCAAGGCGACGAUCGAUAGCUGGUCUGAGAGGAUGAUCAGCCACACUGGAACUGAGACACGGUCCAGACUCCUACGGGAGGCAGCAGUAGGGAAUAUUGGACAAUGGGCGCAAGCCUGAUCCAGCCAUGCCGCGUGAGUG
rnacentral:rRNA from 1 species